AGAGUUUGAUCCUGGCUCAGGAUGAACGCUAGCGGCAGGCCUAACACAUGCAAGUCGAGGGGCAUCGGGAUUGAAGCUUGCUUCAAUUGCCGGCGACCGGCGCACGGGUGCGUAACGCGUAUGUAACCUACCUAUAACAGGGGCAUAACACUGAGAAAUUGGUACUAAUUCCCCAUAAUAUUCGGAGAGGCAUCUCUCCGGGUUGAAAACUGCGGUGGUUAUAGAUGGACAUGCGUUGUAUUAGCUAGUUGGUGAGGUAACGGCUCACCAAGGCAACGAUACAUAGGGGGACUGAGAGGUUAACCCCCCACACUGGUACUGAGACACGGACCAGACUCCUACGGGAGGCAGCAGUGAGGAAUAUUGGUCAAUGGACGCAAGUCUGAACCAGCCAUGCCGCGUGCAGGAAGACGGCUCUAUGAGUUGUAAACUGCUUUUGUACGAGGGUAAACUCACCUACGUGUAGGUGACUGAAAGUAUCGUACGAAUAAGGAUCGGCUAACUCCGUGCCAGCAGCCGCGGUAAUACGGAGGAUUCAAGCGUUAUCCGGAUUUAUUGGGUUUAAAGGGUGCGUAGGCGGUUUGAUAAGUUAGAGGUGAAAUCCCGGGGCUUAACUCCGGAACUGCCUCUAAUACUGUUAGACUAGAGAGUAGUUGCGGUAGGCGGAAUGUAUGGUGUAGCGGUGAAAUGCUUAGAGAUCAUACAGAACACCGAUUGCGAAGGCAGCUUACCAAACUAUAUCUGACGUUGAGGCACGAAAGCGUGGGGAGCAAACAGGAUUAGAUACCCUGGUAGUCCACGCAGUAAACGAUGAUAACUCGUUGUCGGCGAUACACAGUCGGUGACUAAGCGAAAGCGAUAAGUUAUCCACCUGGGGAGUACGUUCGCAAGAAUGAAACUCAAAGGAAUUGACGGGGGCCCGCACAAGCGGAGGAACAUGUG
rnacentral:rRNA from 1 species